rfam:Ajellomyces capsulatus H88 unplaced genomic scaffold supercont1.2, whole genome shotgun sequence.
ACCAACGGAUGAAUAAGAGAAUUCUGCAAUACCGACAAUUUCCAUUUUAUAUAUUGUGAAAUUGACUGUUGACACAAAUUCCUACACUUGAUCUGAAC